GCUGGGCAUGGUGGCACAUGCCUGUAAUCCCAGCUACUUGGGAGGCUGAGGCAGGAGAAUCGCUUGAACCCGGGAGAUGGAGGUUGCGGUGAGCCAAGAUCGCACCAUUGCACUCCAGCCUGGGUGACAGAGCGAGACUCUGUCUCAA
rnacentral:SRP_RNA from 1 species